GAAGUCUGUUUUCUGUCAA
rnacentral:miRNA from 1 species